UACGUAGGGGGCAAGCGUUGGUCCGGAUUUAUUGGGCGUAAAGCGCAGUGUAGGCGGCCAGAUAGGUCUGCUGUGAAAACUCGAGGCUCAACCUCGAGCUGUCGGCGGAAACCAUCUGGCUAGAGUCCGGAAGAGGAGAGUGGAAUUCCUGGUGUAGCGGUGAAAUGCGCAGAUAUCAGGAAGAACACCUAUGGCGAAGGCAGCUCUCUGGGACGGUACUGACGCUGAGACGCGAAAGCGUGGGGAGCGAACAGG
rnacentral:rRNA from 1 species